rnacentral:lncRNA from 1 species
UGGAGAGGAAGACCUCAGUAGAUGGGCUGAAGAUGAUGGCCAUAUCUGUAGUGAGGAGCCACGGUACUCAUAGAAGAGCCACAACAGCAUUUGGUUUAUAGCCUGAGUCUGGACGAGAAAGAAAAGUUUGGGCUGUUGUGCCAAGUAAGUCAAUGCGGUUUUACAACCAUACAAGAAUAUUUUAGAUAAGUAGUGGCAAAAGUUAGCAGUAGGCCACUCUUUCAAAACUUUUAAAAAAAAAAGGACUUUCCCCUUUCAGUUUUCUUUGGUUUUCUGGGUUUAAUCAUUUCCAGAUAAUAAGCUUAAAUUGAUGCUGUGUGGAUGAAGUAGCUUCUAUAUGUAUGAUAUAUCUGCAUAAGCACAUGGUAGGUACUGUAGCUUUUCUUCUGUUGCAGCUUUUCAUUCACCUUUGCUGAUAGACAUUCCUGAAAUGGUGCAGCUAUAUUGUGGGUCCAUUGGUUGUUUUAUGUGAUUUUAUUCUUUCUAUUGAUUUCAACUUUAGAGAAAAUCAUUUUCAUUACUCUUCAAAAAAUUUUAAAAGCAUGAAAUUCAUGGUUUCAUUUUUUUUUUUAAAUUUUAUUUUUUCAUUUUCUAAACUCAGUUUUUGAAAAAAUAAAAAUGAAAAAACACAGUACAAGUUAACUUUUAUUUAUGGUUAUUAAUUACUAAACUUCGGUUUCAGGAUCCGAGCUAAGUCCUGUAAAUGCUGGCAUAAGCUGCAACCAGAGAUGCUACAUAUAAUUCCCCAUUACGCUCUUGAACUUCACUGAUCGCACUGAUUUGAUAUGCCCCAACGAGAGGAGCUACUUCUAAAACCCUGCCAUCAUUGC